UAAGAUUGUGGCUGGAGACAGCCCUACUGUCACCCCUAACACUGCCCUUUAGUACCUGCUGUUCAAACUAAGGUCUGGGGGCCAGCAGCAGCCGCCUCCCCUGGGAACUCCUCAGAAAUGCUGACUCUCAGGCCCUACCCCAGACCUACUGAAUCAGACUCUGCGCUUCACCAGGAUUCCCAGGUGGAAAAAUGAGAGCUGAAGAAGAAGGAGACGCAAAUGGGGAAGAACAGACCAAGGUGAAGCAUUCAGGAGGCCACAUGCUCCGUAGUGCAGCUGAAAGAUAACAGAGCCUCUUUCAACCUGGGUCCCUGAGUGACUGAGUACAAUCGAGCCCCCUGCCAAUCAGUCUUGGAUGUAAAACACGAGAUGGAUCAAGAACAUCAUUCCAUGUCACUCAAGUCCUUCUACUAGGAUGCAGCACGUCCCCCAAGGCCACCAAACACUGCGUGGCCCAACCCAACCUCAGUGAUCAAGGUGAUGACCCGUGGGCUACCCAGAAAGCCUGAUGCCUGGAUCAUACUUGACCUCACAGAGGUAAACAGUGAGACUCAGUCUGGAGGGACCAAACAUUCACAGAGGGUGAAAACACAGGUGGCAGUGACUUCAAGAGGAGACAGCAGACUCCAGGCAAAGGGCUCAGCAGGUGCCAUGGGCUCGAGAUGAUUCAGAAGACUCCGAGGUGUCAGCGGACCGGAGGCGGUAUGGCUGGAAGCGAGCCCCGCUCUGAGACUUGGUAGCUGAGAGCCUUUGGGUAAAUCAUUUGUCCCUGAAUCUUAGUUUCCUCAUCUAAAAAAAAAAACAAAAAAAAACCCACACCUCCCUUGUUGAGCUACGCAGGAUUGAAAUACCACCAAACAGGAUUAUUUUGUGCUGGGCGUAAUUCCAAACAUCUACAUCCAUUAAAUCAUUUAAUCCUCUC